AUACUUAACUGGCAGGGGAGAUACCAUGAUCACCAAGGUGGUUCACCCAGGGCGAGGCUCGGCCAUCGGCUGUGCUGACCCCUGCGAAAUCUCCAAAUGUGGGAAUUUCGACUGCAUAAUUUGUGGUAGUGGGGGACUGUGUUCAAGCUUUCCCCUG